AUUGAACGCUGGCGGCAGGCCUAACACAUGCAAGUCGAGCGGAGCGGCGGACGGGUGAGUAAUGCCUAGGAAUCUGCCUGGUCGUGGGGGAUAACGUCCGGAAACGGGCGCUAAUACCGCAUACUAUCAGAUUAGCCUCGGUCGGAUGCGCGAGUUGGUGGGGUAAAGGCCUACCAAGGCGACGCUCCGUAACUGGUCUGAGAGGAUGAUCAGUCACACGUGAACUGAGACACGGUCCAGACGCCUACGGGAGGCAGCAGUGGGGAAUAUUGGAAAAUGGGCGAAAGUCUGAUCCAGCCAUGCCGCGUGUGUGAAGAAGGUCUUCGGAUUGUAAAGCACUUUAAGUUGGGAGGCGUUACCAACAGAAUAAGCACCGGCUAACUUCGUGCCAGCAGCCGCGGUAAUUC
rnacentral:rRNA from 1 species